UACGUAGGGAGCGAGCGUUGUCCGGAAUUACUGGGUGUAAAGGGAGCGUAGGCGGGAUGGUAAGUCAGGUGUGAAAUGUAUGGGCUCAACCUGUAAAUUGCACUUGAAACUGCUGUUCUUGAGUGAAGUAGAGGUAAGCGGAAUUCCCGGUGUAGCGGUGAAAUGCGUAGAUAUCGGGAGGAACAUCGGUGGCGAAGGCGGCUUACUGGGCUUUUACUGACGCUGAGGCUCGAAAGCGUGGGGAGCAAAC
rnacentral:rRNA from 1 species